AGUUUAACACCAGUAGUGCAAAUGUCAGUAUGAAGGUUGCUAUUCAACAGGAUAUUUAUCGAAAGCUAUUGGCCAAGGAGUUUUUGUUGCUCAUUUAAACGUCAAGUUUUUUUCAUCCAAUGGUGUUUUUGUUCAGAAUUUUGAGAAGCUUAUUUUUAGGUGUCAAUAUGGAAAUUAUCGUUAACUAUGGUGUAAUAACGGAUGUUAGAAAAGUUUUUUAAAACUUUUCUUCACAAGCCAAUGAAUAAUGUAUUCAUUUAUUUAUAUAUUUAGAUGCAGUAUUUCUUUUUAUUACUUUGAGUUCUUUUUGCUUUUUGUUCUAUGUCAAAAAUUCCAAAUAGUAUUUAGUUAUUAGCAUUAAUUAAAAUGUAUGUUUGUCCAAUAAAUAAGAAAAUGAAAACAAAACUAAAUAAAUGUAACAAAAUUAAAAUGAAUAAAGCAAUAAAUAAAUGCCAAAGAUAA